GUGUCAGCAGCCGCGGUAAUACGUAGGGUGCGAGCGUUAAUCGGAAUUACUGGGCGUAAAGCGUGCGCAGGCGGUUUAUUAAGACAGAUGUGAAAUCCCCGGGCUUAACCUGGGAACUGCAUUUGUGACUGGUAGGCUAGAGUGUAGCAGAGGGGGGUAGAAUUCCACGUGUAGCAGUGAAAUGCGUAGAGAUGUGGAGGAAUACCGAUGGCGAAGGCAGCCCCCUGGGUUAACACUGACGCUCAUGCACGAAAGCGUGGGGAGCAAACAGGAUUAGAUACCCUAGUAGUCC
rnacentral:rRNA from 1 species